AGAGUUUGAUCCUGGCUCAGGAUGAACGCUAGCGGCAGGCUUAACACAUGCAAGUCGAGGGGUAACAGGGGUUGCUUGCAACCCGCUGACGACCGGCGCACGGGUGCGUAACGCGUAUGCAACCUACCUUCUACAGGGGGAUAGUCAAUAGAAAUGUUGAAUAAUACCCCAUACGAUCAUUAAUCUGCAUGGAUUGAUGAGGAAAGUUCCGGCGGUAGAAGAUGGGCAUGCGUCCUAUUAGUUAGUUGGUAAGGUAACGGCUUACCAAGACGUCGAUAGGUAGGGGUCCUGAGAGGGAGAUCCCCCACACUGGUACUGAGACACGGACCAGACUCCUACGGGAGGCAGCAGUGAGGAAUAUUGGACAAUGGAGGCAACUCUGAUCCAGCCAUGCCGCGUGCAGGAAGACGGCCCUAUGGGUUGUAAACUGCUUUUAUACAGGAAGAAUGGUACCUACGUGUAGGUAUUUGACGGUACUGUACGAAUAAGGAUCGGCUAACUCCGUGCCAGCAGCCGCGGUAAUACGGAGGAUCCAAGCGUUAUCCGGAAUCAUUGGGUUUAAAGGGUCCGUAGGCGGUCUGAUAAGUCAGAGGUGAAAUCCUGCAGCUCAACUGUAGCAUUACCUUUGAUACUGUUAGACUUGAGUUAUUGUGAAGUAGUUAGAAUGUGUGGUGUAGCGGUGAAAUGCAUAGAUAUCACACAGAAUACCGAUUGCGAAGGCAGAUUACUAACAAUACACUGACGCUGAGGGACGAAAGCGUGGGUAGCGAACAGGAUUAGAUACCCUGCUAGUCCACGCCGUAAACGAUGGAUACUAGCUGUUCGACCAACAUGGGUUGGUUUGAGUGGCUAAGCGAAAGUGAUAAGUAUCCCACCUGGGGAGUACGCUCGCAAGAGUGAAACUCAAGGAAUUGACGG
rnacentral:rRNA from 1 species